ACCCGCUGAACUUAAGCAUAUCAAUAAGCGGAGGAAAAGAAACCAACAGGGAUUGCCCUAGUAACGGCGAGUGAAGCGGCAACAGCUCAAAUUUGAAAUCUGGCGUCUUUGGCGUCCGAGUUGUAAUUUGCAGAGGGCGCUUUGGCAUUGGCAGCGGUCCAAGUUCCUUGGAACAGGACGUCACAGAGGGUGAGAAUCCCGUACGUGGUCGCUAGCCUUUACCGUGUAAAGCCCCUUCGACGAGUCGAGUUGUUUGGGAAUGCAGCUCUAAAUGGGAGGUAAAUUUCUUCUAAAGCUAAAUACUGGCCAGAGACCGAUAGCGCACAAGUAGAGUGAUCGAAAGAUGAAAAGCACUUUGGAAAGAGAGUUAAAAAGCACGUGAAAUUGUUGAAAGGGAAGCGCUUGCAGCCAGACUUGCCUGUAGUUGCUCAUCCGGGUUUUUACCCGGUGCACUCUUCUAUAGGCAGGCCAGCAUCAGUUUGGGCAGUUGGAUAAAGGUCUCUGUCAUGUACCUCUCUUCGGGGAGAACUUAUAGGGGAGACGACAUGCAACCAGCCCGGACUGAGGUCCGCGCAUCUGCUAGGAUGCUGGCGUAAUGGCUGU
rnacentral:rRNA from 1 species